GCUGGUGUUUCUCAGUGGUUAGAGUGUCGGCCUGUGGCCCAAAGGGUCCUGGGUUCGAUUCCCAGUCAAGAGCA
rnacentral:tRNA from 1 species